UACAGAGACUGCAAGCGUUAUUCGGAUUCACUGGGCGUAAAGGGUGCGCAGGCGGCCGAGUGUGUGAGGCGUGAAAGCCCGGGGCUUAACCCCGGAAUUGCACCUCAAACUACACGGCUAGAGCAUUGGAGAGGGUAACGGAAUUCACGGUGUAGCAGUGAAAUGCGUAGAUAUCGUGAGGAACACCAGAGGCGAAGGCGGUUACCUGGACAGUUACUGACGCUCAGGCACGAAAGCAUGGGGAGCAAACAGG
rnacentral:rRNA from 1 species